GGCUGGACGGCCACAAUGGAACUGAGACACGGUCCAUACUCCUACGGGAGGCAGCAGUAGGGAAUCUUGCGCAAUGGGGGAAACCCUGACGCAGCAACGCCGCGUGAGUGAGGAAGGUCUUCGGAUCGUAAAGCUCUGUCAGUUGGAAAGAAAUGUCUGAGAGUCAAUCCCUUUCAGGCUUGACGGUACCAACAGAGGAAGCACCGGCUAACUCCGUGCCAGCAGCCGCGGUAAUACGGGGGGUGCAAGCGUUGUUCGGAAUUAUUGGGCGUAAAGAGCGUGUAGGCGGCCGGAUAUGUCAGAUGUGAAAGCCCCGGGCUUAACCCGGGAAGUGCAUUUGAAACUGUCCGGCUCGAGUAGGGGAGAGGGAAGUGGAAUUCCUGGUGUAGAGGUGAAAUUCGUAGAUAUCAGGAGGAACACCGGUGGCGAAGGCGACUUCCUGGCCCUAUACUGACGCUGAGACGCGAGAGCGUGGGUAGCAAACAGGAUUAGAUACCCUGGUAGUCCACGCCGUAAACGAUGUUCACUAGGUGUUGGGGGUAUUGACCCCCUCAGUGCCGGAGCUAACGCAUUAAGUGAACCGCCUGGGGAGUACGGUCGCAAGACUAAAACUCAAAGGAAUUGACGGGGGCCCGCACAAGCGGUGGAGCAUGUGGUUUAAUUCGAUGCAACGCGAAGAACCUUACCUGGGCUUGACAUCUGGGGAAUCCCCUGGAAACAGGGGA
rnacentral:rRNA from 1 species